rnacentral:rRNA from 1 species
CCUACGGGGUGCAGCAGUGGGGAAUCUUGCGCAAUGGGCGAAAGCCUGACGCAGCGACGCCGCGUGCAGGAAGACGGCUCUAUGAGUUGUAAACUGCUUUUGUACGAGGGUAAAUCCCGAUACGUGUAUCGGGUUGAAAGUAUCGUACGUAUAAGGAUCGGCUAACUCCGUGCCAGCAGCCGCGGUAAUACGGAGGAUUCAAGCGUUAUCCGGUGUUAUUGGGUUUAAAGGGUGCGUAGGCGGUUCGAUAAGUUAGAGGUGAAAGCCCGGGGCUCAACUCCGGCACUGCCUCUGAUACUGUCGGGCUAGAGUUUAGUUGCGGUAGGCGGAAUGUAUGGUGUAGCGGUGAAAUGCAUAGAGAUCAUACAGAACACCGAUUGCGAAGGCAGCUUACCAAGCUACUUCUGACGUUGAGGCACGAAAGCGUGGGGAGCAAACAGGAUUAGAUACCCUGGUAGUC